rnacentral:rRNA from 2 species
UCAUGGAAACUGGGGGACUUGAGUGCAGAGAGAAAGCGGAAUUUCACGUGUAGCGGUGAAAUGCGUAGAGAUGUGGAGGAACACCAGUGGCGAAGGCGGCUUUCUGGUCUGUAACUGACGCUGAGGCGCGAAAAGCGUGGGGGAGCAAACAGGAUUAGAUACCCUGGUAGUCCACGCCGUAAACGAUGAGUGCUAAGUGUUAGAGGGUUUCCGCCCUUUAGUGCUGCAGCUAACGCAUUAAGCACUCCGCCUGGGGAGUACGGCCGCAAGGCUGAAACUCAAAGGAAUUGACGGGGGCCCGCACAAGCGGUGGAGCAUGUGGUUUAAUUCGAAGCAACGCGAAGAACCUUACCAGGUCUUGACAUCCUCUGACACUCCUAGAGAUAGGACGUUCCCCUUCGGGGGACAGAGUG